rnacentral:rRNA from 1 species
CGGAAAUAGCUGGUUCCCCCCGAAACUAGUCGCAGCUAGACCUCGAUCGAGGUGGAAUGUGAGGUAGAGCACCGAUUGGGUGCUUAGGGGAAGAAAUUCCUCGGCAUCUUGUCAAACUCCGAACUUGCGUUCAUCGUAGACGUCGGGUGUGAGGCCAUCCGGGGUAAGCUUGGUGGCCAUAAGGGAAACAACCCAGACUAUAGUUAAGGUCCCUAAAUUUCGGUCAAGUGUAAUACGAAAUGGUGUCGGCGGUCUAAAACAACCGGGAGGUGGGCUUAGAAGCAGCCAUCCUUCAAAGAUAGCGUAACAGCUCACCGGUCUAGAUCGUGGGCCCAGAAAAUGGACGGGGCUAAACCGAGUACCGAUACUAUAGGAUACUGCAAAGUAAUUCGGUAGGGGGGCGUGGUGCAUGGGCAGAAGCAGGGCUGUGAAGUCCUGUGGACCGUGUACCAACGAGGAUCCUGGAGAGAGUAGCAGCAAAGCACGGUGAGAAUCCGUGUCGCCGCAGGGGCAAGGGUUCCUUGGCAAUGUUCGUCAGCCAAGGGUUAGUCGAUCCUAAGGUAACUCUUAAUCGAAGUUAUCGAAUGGGAAACAGGUUAAUAUUCCUGUACCAGCAAGAUCUUUGCCUAUGUAGUUAGUUCGGGAUAGUUGAUGUACGCCAGUCAGCGUAUCUAAGCGCCGAAUCCGAUGAAGAACCGUAAUGGUGAGAAGUUGGAGAAUGCGUUAUGGGGCGAGCGUAAGCUCGCUUUCGAUAAUUCCUGGAUUCCGUGAAACCUGCAUAGUUACAAUCUUGUUGUUCGUACCAAGAACCGACACAGGUGUCCCUAGGUGAGUAGCCUAAGGCGUGUUAGCAUAAUCGUGGCGAGGGAACUCGGCAAAUUAGCCCUGUAACUUCGGGAGAAGGGGUGCCAGCAGUGAGAGCUGCUGGUCGCAGUGACAAGAGAACACCGACUGUUUAAUAAAAACAUAGGUCUCUGCUAGUUCGAAAGGAUGUGUAUAGAGGCCGAAGCCUGCCCAGUGUCGGCAUCUGAAAAUCUGUUACAACGGAUCGAAGGACCGAUAAACGGCGGGGGUAACUAUGACCCUCUUAAGGUAGCGUAAUACCUUGUCGCUUAAUUGGCGACUUGCAUGAAGGCUCAACGAGUGUUCUACUGUCCCCGCCAUGACGCUAGUGAAAUCAAUCAGUCUGGUGCACAAUCCAGACCCCUCCAUCUGAAAGCGAAGACCCCAUGGAGUUUCACUGCAACCUGUUGUUGUUGUAAGAAUUGGCAUGUGUAGGGUAGGCGGGAGACGUUACCCAGGAAGGUGCGCUAGCAUCUCUCCGAGUCACCGAUGAAACACCGCCCUUGCAAGUUUUUACGACUCACCUCUCCGGAGGAACAGCUAUAGGCAGGCAGUUCGGGUGGGGCGCCACGCCCUCAAAAAGAUAACAAGGGUGCCCAAAGGUUGGCUCAGGUAGGUCAGAAAUCUACCGAAGAAUGUAAGGGUAUAAGCCAGCUUGACUCGGAACCAGACAAUAGGGUUCGGAGAUAGGAAACUAAGGCCUAACGAACCAAUCAACCUCCUGAAUGGGGGUGAUUGAUGUCAGAAAAAUUACCCUGGGGAUAAUUGAGUUGUCACGAGCAAGAGUUCACAUCGACCUCGUGGCUUGCUACUUCGCUGUCGGCUCUCCCUAUCCUGGUGGUGCAGCAGCUGCCAAGGGUGGGGUUGUUCGCCCAUUAAAAGGGAUCGUGAGCUGGGUUUAAAACGUCGCGAGACAGUUUUGUUGCUUUUUGAUGGAGGUGUUGGUACCUGAUGAGAAGGACCCUUUAGUACGAGAGGAACAGGGGUUCGUCGCCUCUAGUUUAUCAGUUGUCUGACAAGGCAAGCUGAGUAGCCACGCGGUAGUGGAUAAGAGCUGAAGGCAUCUAAGCUCGAAGCCAUCUUAAAAAAGAGGUACCCAUAGAACGCUCAUAAAUGAUGAGUUCGAUAGAAGCCGGAUGUAAGUAUCGAGGUUCGCCGAGAUAUUCAGUCCUGGCUAACUAAUGUUCUUUGACGUCGCUGGG